UGUUGUGAUACCAUCCCCUUCCUCACCAGCCAGCAGAGAGAUAGGUAAACUGCAGAGGAGAAAUGUGCCUCCCCAGAGCUGCAGCCAAACUCACCGUGUCUCUCGGGACCAUCAAAGGUGCAGGUAUGCUCUCACAGUGGAACAAACUGAGUGUGAACCUGCCUUUUGCCCACUUGGUGAAGGUGGUGGUUCACUCCUGUGCUCGUGCUGCCUGGAGUGGACAGCGGAGGAAGAGCCAAGACUCAAGGUGAUCUGGAUGUAAAUCAAAAAUGCUGUUCAGGAUCCAAGCUGAAUAGUUCAGGUUUUAAUACAAUAAUAGACAGUUCAAUGUGAAACCAAAACAAAUGUUAAACCUUGGAAGCUGUAUAAAAUUGAAUUGUCAUCAUCUAUCUAGUCAGUUUUUGUUUUAAGCACCUUGAGUCCUAGUGACGACAAUAAGAAAUGAAAAUGCUCAGCUAUUUCAGGAUUCAGCCUAUAGCAGUGUAGGACACACUCAGCACAGGCUGCUGAUUGUGGCCAUCCUUCAUGGCAGUCAUUCAUUAUAUAAUUUCAAAGGUAACUUAAACACGUGCCAGAAAGUUUGGAGAGACUAGUCCUUGGAGAAAUGGGCUCUGGACCAAAUCUUUAUAUUAAUGAUAAUGCUUUAGAAUAAAAUAUUUUUUGGUUCAGAACAUGAGAACAUGUGAGUCUCUCUUUGGCUCUCACCUUUUAAAGAAAGAGAUGAAAUUUAAGUUUUAUGAAAAUUAAUGCAAGUAAUUAAAUGCUAAAACAAUAACAAGUAUAUACUGUUACAGCUCAUGAAAAAUCAUAAGGAAAGGUGAAUGUAUCCAGACAGUUUUUAAUAAAGACUUGAUUCUGUACACACAUUUGUGCAAGUAAUUUUUAAUCAU